rnacentral:rRNA from 1 species
UUUAUUGAGAGUUUGAUCCUGGCUCAGGACGAACGCUGGCGGCGUGCCUAACACAUGCAAGUCGAGCGAAUGAAGUUCCUUCGGGAACGGAUUU